AGCAUUAAUUGCCAAGGAUAUGGCUGCGGCCGCUGUAGGUUGGGGUAACAUCUGUCAAACCAAUGAGAUUGUUCAUUAUAGCUCUGGUAAGGGUUGGAGUAUGAAGAAUGAUUGGAAGCAUCGUCUCCAAAAGAAGGUUUGAUGAAGAAGAGAACAAGGGAGAUUAUAAAGAGGAGGGAUAUUGUGUCAUCUUUUCUCAAGUUGACUAUUUUUUGAACUGACAGUGUCACCAACUUCAAUUUCUCCUAAUAUUUCUCUCUUUCAAAUGUUGAAAUUUAAAUGGAAAGAUUCCAUGAUUAGAGAUUUCAGAUCAAUUGAAAUCCUUUUUCUUUCUUUUGUGAAAAUCAAAUUUUAACCAUUUGUAGGAGUUUCAACUUUCAAUUUUCACU